rnacentral:sRNA from 1 species
GGGGACUGAACUCAGCUCUUAACCAAUGAGCCAUCUCUCCAGCCCUAGACAAGUCUUAUGUGGUACAGCCUGGCCUCAACUUGCUGUGCUAAGGAUGACUUUAAACCUCUGUUUCUCCUGCUCCUGCCUCUCAAGUUCUGGGAUUUCAGGCCUGUGACAACUCAGUCUUGAUGGGGACUGAACCAGACCUUCACUGGUGCUAAGAGAUCAUUGUACUAAAUAGUUAUUUCUUUAAUGGUUGUAGAAGCCAAGCUCUACUGGUUGGCUAUGAGAGCCCCCCUCUCCUACCCAAAAAUCUCUGGUUAGCUAGAGGGGUAUUCAGCUCACACUGGGGAAUCAGGUGGUGGUGGCGAGGGCAACAGGGAGUCCAUGUUGCCAUUCCCCUUCUGAAACUGCCAUCUUGGAAGAGUCGUAAAGAUAAGGAAUCGUGAGUCACAUCUGGAGGCCAGGCCAGCAAUCCUCCUUGCCCUACCCAGCCUUUCCCUCCCAGGCUCAUCUCUAGCUCCUUCCUCCAGAUGUGGAAAGCCCACCCAGAAUGGGAGGAGAGGGGAGCCUGCAGGGCACAGCGGAGAUGCUGUCAGAUCUGCAGCGAGGCUGGGCUGCCCCAUCAUCCCCAGCCCCGCCCUCAAGUAACCACCAGGGAAACUAACCACAGCAGCUUCGGUCUUCCCUCUGAGGCCUCCCCAGACUUCAGUUACAGCCUGGCCAGUUCCUCUACAGUUCCAACUGUGUGUGCCCCUCUCCCACAUCAGGCAGGGUUCCAGGAAGAGGACCAGAGAGGUGAGGCAGGCAAACCCAAGGGCUGAGAGCUCAGGGCUCCAGGAGACGUCCCUGACAGGUCAUGACUUGAAUAGAAGGCCUGUGUCUCCAGGAAGUCUCUGAGGCCUGAGGACACUUCUCUGUAGGUGCUGUCCGAGCAGGCUGGCCACAGAGGAGCAUGGUAUGAGGAUCAGUCUCUGGACUGGGGCCUGGAGAUUCUGGUUUUGCCUCCAUCCCUGCUUGUUCAGUUUCUCCAUUUGCAACUGUACGUGUAAGUCCUGCUUUCCUUACUGAGGGCACCAUAGGGCAGGACUCAGGUCUGUGGCCCUUCAGAGGUGACCUUUGCCUUGAGACAAUCGGAUGCUGUAGCCCAGGCUGGUCUGGAAUUUGAAGCAGUCCGGCCUGCGAUAACAGGUGAGAGUUCACCAUACCUAGCUGAGCUUAGGUUUUACAGUCCCCUUGUUGACUUUCAAGGUUACCUUCCUUGGUGUCUGGUUAACCCUCUCCUGGGGCCCUCUCCCACCUGAGCUGUGGUAUGGAUUUGCCAGAUGCUAAUGGCCCCUGUAACAGGCACUGUGGUUUUUAAGGCAGGGUGGACAGAGAUAAAGUCCUUUCUGUGCUCCACACCCUUAAGUGCUCAGGGCCUCCUGGUGGUGGCACCUACUUAUCUGUCAGGCCCAGUGCCCGGCGCCUUGCUUUCAAAGCCUAUCUCAUUUGAGCGUAUCAUCUCUCCUUCGUCUCUGCCCACCUGGUGAACUUCUGUCCAGGGAACAGCAGCUGUGGCCAGAUCCCAGACAGAGGCGGGAUGCGGAACAGAGGCGAGCAUGGAUUUGGGGGCCGUGGCCCUGGGCGUUGGUUAUUCUGAACAAUGUCCAGAUUCUAGAAGGUAGCAGAUGUCGAUCAUUCCAUGGGUCAGUGCCACCCACAUUCAGGAUGGGACUUGCAUCAUCAGUUAGACUUCUCUGGAAACAUCCUCUCAGGUGUCCCCAGAGAUGUGUCAGAAGGCAUACCAACCUCACGCAAAGGCUCCUCACAAUGGCGGCCCCUCUUCCCACAGCAUUUUCUGUAGUGAUCCUGAUUGCUCUGCCUACCUUCCUCCAUCAGAGCUGGCACUCUGGACCUGGGCUAUGACGCACCUUGGGAGACACAACCUUGAUGAGCUCAUUCAGGAAGCGGAACUUGCCCACUUCGUCAUGGAACCUCUUGCCACAGCUCUUCAUGCAUGUUUCCAGAACCUGGAAGGGAAGCAGUGAGGUAGCCCCCAUCUUUGCCAGGGCCCAGAGGAAGGGAAUGACCCUCGAGGGCACAAGAUCCUGAGGUUCACGGGUCUCUGAGACUGUUCAUCACCAGCCUAGAGCACUGGGUCAGGGGUCUUCUAGUGACCAGCACUGCUCAAGCUGCUGAACCAUAGGCUCCUCCAUGGCUUGACCAUGCAUCACUUGGAUAUGGCCUUCUUACUAUUCUUAUUUUUAGAGACAGAGUUUCUCUGUGUAGCCCUGGUUAUCCUGGGACUCAUUCAGUAGAUCAGGCUGCCCUCAAAGUCACAGAGAUCCACUUGUUUCUGCCUCCUGAAUGCUGGCAUUAGAGGUGUACACCAUCA